ACAGGGACGCGAGGGCAAAAUGUGACUUGAUUUGCAGUCUUCAAAUAGUGUUGUAUCAAGGAAUUAAAUACGAGUAUUACCAUAAAAUCUUGGAACCCAGAUGGACAGAAGAGAAAGAAUACACAUAAUUAAACAGGGAGCUGGACUGCAAAUAUUACAAAACCAAAACACAUCCUUUACGUUGGAUGCUUAUAAAUGAACUUCCACCAUCGUUCGGUAACAAUACCACAAUGUUGUGGCAAAUAUCUGUCUAUUUACUUAUGUAUUUUAGUAGCUGCUCAUCCAGUCUAGUUGCCAGCCUUUGAUUUAAAGGGCUAGCUCCACUAGAGAGCCAGCGGCAUCCAGUGCUGUCACUUUGAAUUAAGUUUGCUUUUAUUUUGUGGCCAACACACUAGAGGGCGCUGGCGCUUACUAAUAUAAAGACACUUUGGCCGACCUAGCCUACAUCCCUGUGGCAGGAAGCAAAAACUGAAGAGUAGCUCUUGAAUUCAGGUGAAAGCACCUGUUAACACCCCGAUAGACCAAGAUGUUGAUGUAAAAUUGAAACUGGCUCAGACCCUUCUUAAACAGUGAAUUUCAUUCACCGUAAUACAGUGACUACAACUUACUUUGAGUAAAGACUGAGCUAAAGUCUAAUGUGUGGGACCCAACCAUUUCUUUUGUAUCCUUUUAAAGCCAGUUGUAAUGCAUUUCCCUUCAGGGUUUUGCUGGUUCAGGUGCCACCGAGUUACUGUAUGCUGUUGCGUUCCUUGGAAGGAACAGAUGGAAAAAUAGAAUGUCUCUUCUGUGCAUGGGGUUUGUCAGCCCUUAGCUGGAGUUGCUUUGAGACUUCACUGGCAUUGGUACUGUUUUGAUUUAUAGGCUGCUUUCUGGGGCUGACCUUGAGGGUCCAAACACUCAGAACAGCCCUUUCGAGCUGCCGUUCAUCACAGUCACAUGAACUUAAAAACAGAUCUAAACUAUAGUGGCUUAAGAAGUGUCUUCCAUAAAAUGGAUAGCGAUCUUUCAAACAGACAAGGAGGUUUUACUAUGGCACAUUAAACUGUGAAUAUUUUGCAAUAUUAAAAUAUAGGCAUAAAUAUAGUCAAUAUUUGACUCUUGCCGUGAAUGUUUAAAUUGUACACGAGUACAUUUUAAUGUUAUGAUGCAGUUCAUGUGAACAGAAAUACACUGCCUGGCCAUUAUUUGAACGUGUAUCAAACAUGAGG